rnacentral:rRNA from 1 species
GGGGUAAAAUUAAUAAAUUAAUUUUAAUAAAAAAAUUUUUAAUAAAAUAUUUUAAAGGGGGGGUUAAAGUAUAUUUAUAGAAAAAAUAAAUUAAUUUAUAGUUAAAUAGUAUUGUAAAAGAAUUUUGAAAUAAUUGAAAUUAAAUUUUUUUAAAAGUAAUUUUUAUUUAAUGUAUCUUGGGUAUCAGAGUUUAUUAAAAAAAAAUUAUUAAAUAAAAAAUUCUCGAAUUUAAAAGAGAUAAUUAAUUAAUAAAGUUAUUGUAGCAUAAAUAUUUUAAAUAAUUAAUUGGAAAUGAAAUGUUAAUCGUUUUUAAAUAUAUCUAGUUUUUUUAGAAAAAAAUUUAAUUUUAUAUUAUUUAAAAAAAAAAAUUAAUUAAUUAAUUUUUUUUUUAAAUAAUAAUAUAUUUUAAGGGAUAAGCUUUAAUUUAAAUUUAUAUAAAUAAAUUGAAAAAUUAAAUUGAAAAUUUUAUAAUUUAUAUUGUUAAAAAAAUUUAAUUUAUUAUAAAUAAUUUCAUUUAAAAUAAAAUUUAAUAAAAUUUUAUAUGGUUUAUAAAAAAAAAAUUUUUAAUAAAAUAAAAUUUGAUAUAAUGAUAAAAUUAGUAUAUAAUAAAAUAUAUAAAUGAAUAAUUUAGUAUAAAUAAUUAAUUAAAAGGAAUUCGGCAAAAAUUUAUAUUCACUUGUUUAUCAAAAACAUGUCUUUUUGAAAAUAAUAUAAAGUCUAAUCUGCCCACUGAUAUAAUAUUAAAGGGCUGCAGUAUAUUGACUGUACAAAGGUAGCAUAAUCAUUAGUCAUUUAAUUGAUGACUUGUAUGAAAGAUUGGAUGAAAUAUAAACUGUCUCUUAAUUAAAUAUAGAAUUUAAUUUUUAAAUUAAAAAGUUUAAAUAAUUUAAAAAGACGAGAAGACCCUAUAGAGUUUUAUAAAUUUAAUGAUUAAGAUUAUUUAUUAAAAAAAAAAUUAAAAUUAAUAAAUUUAUUUUGUUGGGGUGACAAAAAAAUAUAAAAAACUUUUUUUAAAAUAAAACAUAUAUAAAUGAUUAAAUGAUCCAUUAUUAUUGAUUAUAAGAAAAAAUUACCUUAGGGAUAACAGCGUAAUUUUUUUUUUUAGUUCUUAUAAAAAGAAAAGUUUGCGACCUCGAUGUUGGAUUAAGAUAAAAUUUAAAUGCAGUAGUUUAAAAUUUUUGAUCUGUUCGAUCAUUAAAAUCUUACAUGAUCUGAGUUCAAACCGGUGUAAGCCAGGUUGGUUUCUAUCUUUUAAAAAAUAAAAUAUUUUAGUACGAAAGGAUUAAAUAUUUAAAUUAAAUUUUUUAUUUUGAAUUUUAUUAAAGAUAAUUUAUAAAUUUAUAAUAAAUAAAUUAAUAUAUAUAUAUAUAUAUAUAUAUAUUU